GUUUUUGUAGUUGAAUUACAACGGUGGUUUUUCAAGUCAUUAGUCCUGGUUAGAUUCCGGGCAAAAAUU
rnacentral:tRNA from 1 species